GCGUGGCCUGAGGGGCGGGGACUCGGGGGCACACCCCGAGCCGCAGCUCCCAGGUGCGUGUUAAAAGCUGGAGGGGGGAUAUGUGAUCCCAGGACCAAAAGCGCGGGGCCAGACUCAUCGGUUCAUUCAACAACCAGUAUUUAGUGCCUGCUGUGUUCUGCAGGCCCUGUCCUAGGCGCUUGAUACAGCGGUGCAUAGCGUAUGAGAAAGAUCUGUCCUGAUCUCAACAGGGGAAGUUGGUCCAGUGAGGUCCUAAGCCCAUGCAGAAAUGGCAGCUACUUCCCUCCAGCCUGUUUCACCCACUUCCUUCACCUUCCUC
rnacentral:lncRNA from 1 species